rnacentral:sRNA from 1 species
AUAUCUCUCCGUACGGGAAGGAUGAGAAGCUUCGACCAAGGUUCGAUUCGAGCGCAGCGAGAAAGCGUUGCCGCAGGCAACGACCCGAAGGGCGAAGCGCGCAGCGC